GACGAACCGUGCGAACGUUGUUCGGAAUCACUGGGCCUAAAGGGCGCGUAGGCGGGCUGUCAAGUCUGGGGUGAAAUGCCGCGGCUCAACCGUGGAACUGCCUUAGAUACUGACGGCCUCGAGGAAGGUAGGGGCAUGCGGAACUGUAGGUGGAGCGGUGAAAUGCGUUGAUAUCUACAGGAACUCCGGUGGCGAAGGCGGGCAU
rnacentral:rRNA from 1 species